rnacentral:rRNA from 1 species
UACGUAGGGGGCUAGCGUUGUCCGGAAUCAUUGGGCGUAAAGCGCGUGUAGGCGGCUCGGUAAGUCCGCUGUGAAAGUCGGGGGCUCAACCCUGGGAUGCCGGUGGAUACUGUCGGGCUAGAUACGGAAGAGGCGAGUGGAAUUCCUGGUGUAGCGGUGAAAUGCGCAGAUAUCAGGAGGAACACCAAUUGCGAAGGCAGCUCGCUGGGACGUUACUGACGCUGAGACGCGAAAGCGUGGGGAGCAAACAGG